rnacentral:rRNA from 1 species
CGUAGGGGGCAAGCGUUGUCCGGAUUCAUUGGGCGUAAGGAGCGUGUAGGCGGCCAGGUAGGUCGGUUGUGAAAACUGGAGGCUCAACCUUCAGACGUCGACCGAAACCAUCUGGCUAGAGUCCGGGAGAGGAGAGUGGAAUUCCUGGUGUAGCGGUGAAAUGCGCAGAUAUCAGGAAGAACACCCGUGGCGAAAGCGGCUCUCUGGAACGGUACUGACGCUGAGACGCGAAAGCGUGGGGAGCGAACAGGAUUAGAUACCCUGGUAGUCCACGCCGUAAACGAUGGGCACUAGGUGUGGGAGGUGUCGACUCCUUCCGUGCCGAAGCUAACGCAUUAAGUGCCCCGCCUGGGGAGUACGGCCGCAAGGCUA